AUGGGCCUACAUACCAACUGCUCGAAAAGCCUAGUUGCCCCAAUCCAUUGUGACAACUUGGAUCUGAAUGAUAUCCUCCUCUCCUUCCCGGCCAACCGCUCAUAUUUCCCUAUGAAAUAUCUGGGUCUGCCAUUGUCGAUCAAAAGAUUAAAUAGAAUCCACUUCCAACCCGUCGAAGAUAAGAUUGCAGCUCAACUUAUGCUUUGGAUGGGCAAACACGUUGCAUCGCCUGGAAGGGUAGUGCUUGUCAAGUCGGUUGUAACAACGAUUGCUAUAUAUUACUUGACGGUGCUAAACCUCCCUGUUGAGGUAUUGAAAAAGAUCGAUUCCCUGCUGCAUGCAUAUCUCUGGGCUGGUUGUGACAAGGUUUCUGGUGGAAAAUACAAGAUGAACCGGGGGCAAGUGUGCAAAUCUGAAGUGCAUGGUUGCCUAGGUAUUCUCAACUUGGAAAUAUUUUCUGCUGCCCUUCGCAUCUGGUGGUUGUGGGGAGCUUGGACGGAUCCGAGCAAGCCUUGGGUAACCUUGGGGAACCUGUGUGAUGACAAAGAUAAAGACAUAUUUGCUGCUGCCAACAAGGCAAACGGCUUGUAA
rnacentral:rRNA from 1 species